UACAGAGGUCUCAAGCGUUGUUCGGAUUCAUUGGGCGUAAAGGGUGUGUAGGUGGCGCGCUAAGUCGGGUGUGAAAUCUCGGGGCUUAACCCCGAAACUGCAUUCGAUACUGGCGUGCUUGAGGACUGGAGAGGAGACUGGAAUUCAUGGUGUAGCAGUGAAAUGCGUAGAGAUCAUGAGGAAGACCAGUGGCGAAGGCGGGUCUCUGGACAGUUCCUGACACUGAGACACGAAGGCCAGGGGAGCAAACGGG
rnacentral:rRNA from 1 species